GUCUGCGUGGCGCAAUGGUAGCGCGUUGGACUUCUAUCCCGCUGAGAUUCUGUCUCGGAUAGAUGGUAUCCAAAGGCUGUGGGUUCGAGCCCCACCGUGGAUG